rnacentral:rRNA from 1 species
CCUACGGGAGGCAGCAGUGGGGAAUAUUGGGCAAUGGAGGAAACUCUGACCCAGCAAUGCCGCGUGAAUGAAGAAGGUCUUCGGAUUGUAAAGUUCUUUAGUCAGGGAAGAAUAAAAUGACGGUACCUGAAGAAUAAGCUCCGGCUAACUACGUGCCAGCAGCCGCGGUAAUACGUAGGGAGCAAGCGUUGUUCGGAAUGACUGGGUUUAAAGGGUGCGUAGGCGGAGUGUCAAGUCAGCGGUAAAAUUUCGGGGCUCAACCCCGUCGUGCCGUUGAAACUGACGCCCUUGAGUGAGUGAGAAGUAAGCGGAAUGCGUGGUGUAGCGGUGAAAUGCAUAGAGAUCACGCAGAACGCCGAUUGCGAAGGCAGCUUACCGGCGCUCAACUGACGCUGAGGCACGAAAGUGCGGGUAUCGAACAGGAUUAGAUACCCCUGUAGUC